rnacentral:rRNA from 1 species
GACGAACGCUGGCGGCGUGCUCAACACAUGCAAGUCGAACGGAAAGGCCCUGCUUGCAGGGUACUCGAGUGGCGAACGGGUGAGUAACACGUGGGUGAUCUGCCCUGCACUUCGGGAUAAGCCUGGGAAACUGGGUCUAAUACCGGAUAGGAGCCAUUUUUAGUGUGAUGGUUGGAAAGUUUUUUCGGUGUAGGAUGAGCUCGCGGCCUAUCAGCUUGUUGGUGGGGUAAUGGCCUACCAAGGCGGCGACGGGUAGCCGGCCUGAGAGGGUGGACGGCCACAUUGGGACUGAGAUACGGCCCAGACUCCUACGGGAGGCAGCAGUGGGGAAUAUUGCACAAUGGGCGCAAGCCUGAUGCAGCGACGCCGCGUGGGGGAUGACGGCCUUCGGGUUGUAAACUCCUUUCGCUAGGGACGAAGCUUUUUGUGACGGUACCUAGAUAAGAAGCACCGGCUAACUACGUG